rnacentral:rRNA from 1 species
CAGUUCGGAUUGAAGGCUGAAAUUCGCCUUCAUGAAGCUGGAAUUGCUAGUAAUGGCAGGUCAGCAUACUGCCGUGAAUACGUUCCCGGGCCUUGUACACACCGCCCGUCACACCAUGAGAGUUGGAAAUACCCGAAGCCUGUGAGCUAACUGUAAAGAGGCAGCAGUCGAAGGUAGAGCCAAUGAUUGGGGUGAAGUCGUAACAAGGUAAC